rfam:Triticum aestivum genome assembly, contig: Triticum_aestivum_CS42_TGACv1_scaffold_602621_7DL
UUCAUACUCCCUCCGUCCGGAAAUACUUGUCGGGGAAAUGGAUGAAUCUAGACGUAUUUUAAUUAUAGAUACAUCCAAUUUUAUCCAUUUCUCCGACAAGAAUUUUGGGACGGAGGGAGUACUAA